GAAUCUUAGCUCAGUGGUUGAGCACCUGCUUUGCAUGCAGAUGGUCCCGGGUUCAAUCCCCAGCCUGAAACC